UUCAAAGUUUAUUUUGAGACUUUCUUCAACAAUUAAACUUCAGACUGUUCAGGAUAGCAUAAUAGCAUAGGAGGCGAAAUAAAAAGAAUUGAUUUACUUACAAGAAAAGAUAUCACAAACAUUAAACUCUAUUAUGGCAUUGAUUUGAAAGAUGGGUAUAUGUACAAUGAUGAUGCAACCAGUGUUUAUUUUUGGGUUGAAUGCUUACAGACUCAUGUCCAAUAUUAUUUUACAAACAACAGGGCAUACUAAUGGAUAUUCAUUCUGAAUUUAACAUUUAUGAUUUUUGUCUUAUUUUCCUUAAUACUGUGCCAAAAGGAAAUGUUAAUUAAGUUUGGUAAAUCCUUUAUCGCAAUCGAUGGAACUCAUGGGCUCAAUUCCUAUGACUUUGAACUUAUGACAGUAUUAGUAAAAGAUGAAUUUGGGAAUGGAUUUUGUACUGCUUUCUUAUUUUCAAAUAGAAAAGAUACCUACUUUAA